UACGUAGGGUGCAAGCGUUGUCCGGAAUUAUUGGGCGUAAAGGGCUCGUAGGCGGUUUGUCGCGUCGGGAGUGAAAUCCACUGGCUUAACUGGUGGCUUGCUUUCGAUACGGGCAGACUGGAGGUAUGCAGGGGAGAACGGAAUUCCUGGUGUAGCGGUGAAAUGCGCAGAUAUCAGGAGGAACACCGAUGGCGAAGGCAGGUCUCUGGGCAUUAACUGACGCUGAGGAGUGAAAGCAUGGGGAGCGAACAGG
rnacentral:rRNA from 1 species